GCCCUUAUAGCUCAGUGGUAGAGCGUCAGUCUUGUAAACAGAAGGUCCGUAGUUCGAUACUGCGUGAGGGCA
rnacentral:tRNA from 1 species